UACGUAGGCAGCAAGCGUUGUUCGGAAUUACUGGGCGUAAAGAGUGUGUAGGCGGUGCUCUAAGUCUGGUGUGAAAUCUCCCGGCUCAACUGGGAGGGUGCGCCGGAAACUGGAGUGCUUGAGGGUGGGAGAGGUAAGCGGAAUUCCUGGUGUAGCGGUGAAAUGCGUAGAUAUCGGGAGGAACACCUGAGGCGAAGGCGGGCUACUGGGCCGAUACUGACGCUGAUGCGCGAAAGCCAGGGGAGCGAACGGG
rnacentral:rRNA from 1 species